UGUGGUUGUGGCUCAGUGGUAGAGCACUUGCCUAGCUCUACCACUGUAGAGUGUGAGGCACUGGGUUCAAUCCUCAGCACCGCAN
rnacentral:tRNA from 1 species